rnacentral:rRNA from 1 species
UUAAGUCCCGCAACCGAGCGCAACCCUCGUUAUUGCUAACGCGUGAAGGCGAGCACUCUAGACGAACUGCCGUUGACAAACGGAGGAAGUGGGGAUGACGUCAAAUCAUCAUGCCCCUUAUGUCCAGGGCUACACACGUGCUACAAUGGCCGGUACAAAGGGCUGCAAGACCGCGGAGGUGGAGCGAAUCCCAAAAAGCCGGUCCCAGUUCGGAUUGGAGGCUGAAACUCGCCUCCAUGAAGUCGGAGUUGCUAGUAAUCGCAGAUCAGCAAUGCUGCGGUGAAUACGUUCCCGGGCUU